GCGUGCCAGCCCGAGGAAGUCGUUCUGUGCUCGGCUAGGAAGGUGCGGUAUCCCCGGCAGCUCUUAGUGCCGCAACGGAAGAUCCUCAGCUGGUGGGGCUGCCUGGAGUGUUCCAGAUCUGGGCCAGGGGAAAAGGAUGUUCUUUGAAAGCCAAGCCUCAGUACCACCAGUGUCCACCAUGUGGCAGUGCCUUGCCACUGGACAGCAGCCACUACACAGCAGCCACGAUUCCUGGGGACAGACGUGGAAAAUGCCUCCAGUUCUCCCCUACCAUCCUGCUUCCCUCCCAGACCAUGGAAAGGGGCUGGUUCCUCUGCUCCACAACUGCCAGACAGCAGAGGAAGACCUCUGCACCACAUCCCGGCCACCUUUGACACAUGGCGAUGGAGCCCGAUGAUAGAGGCCAGACUUCCUAGAAAUCCAGGGUGCCAUGGAGUGGAGAGGGAGGAGAAAGGAGUAGGAGACAGUUAUAUCCACUUGCAUUUCUCCCCAGGCCCGGAAACACAUUGAAGACUUUUGGCCACUGCUUUCUAUAGCUUUCGGUCCCUCUCUGUUGGUCACUGCAGAUGAGUGACAGCCUGAUAGCCCCUGGGGGAUCUGGAUCAUGAGACUGCAAGUUCCCAUUUCUGGCGGUGCCUAGGAGGGCUUACUUGUUUGUGCCAGGAAUCAGGCUCAGGGGAAGUAGCAAGAAGAAGUGGCUGUAGGAGCCACUGAUGCCACCUUUCCGGAACCCUCCUCGUCAGGUGCCCAUGAUUUCACGUUUUUCCCACCCCUUUGCUGUUGAGCCUGGCCUGGCCCUACCUCCCCACUGACACUUACAUCAGAGAUUAGCUAUAAAUACGCUCUUAGCAUCUUAGUCACUUUCCCAAGAAGUGCUUCCAGGUUAUAAAUACCCAGGCAUCUGCCGCACUGCCCGCCUUGCCACCAAGCUGGCUGGGGGCUGGGGGUAGCGACAGGCUUGACAGUGGGGAAGGAAAUAGAAGAAGCAGGGCCACUUAUUUGCCCAAAUGAGAACAGCCUGAAGGAGUCUAGAGCCAGGGGGCAGGGGGCUCAGGAAGAAAAUGUGUAGAUGAUAACAGGUUCUUCCAUUUAACCCCUCCCCCUUCUUUUAAACAAAAAGCAGAGCGAAAAAAGAAAGUGAAUAGCAUGGAGCCCGUGUUUAUUUUUAAAUAUGCUGUUUUGUUCAUCGUGGAUUUUCAGCGUUCACUAUGUUUGAAAAAUCUUUCAUUAAAAUGAUGGUUUUCUCCAUUGA